UCAGGACUUAGAUGGCUCCCUUCACCUCUCCCUGCUAGUUCUGUUCUGGGGGAAAUGAAGAUGCAAGCUGUCUGAAGCAUUGAAUUGAAUACUUUAUCACAUGUAAUUGCUGGAUGCCUGCACCCAGAAGACAGAGUUGAGAAUGCAGUCAACAAAACCAGGUUCAAGCCCCAGCCCUGUCACUUAGGAAGAAGGUUAAGCAAAUCAGCCUGGCAGGAAAAGAUUCUUCUUUGCUGAAACUAACAGCCCCAGAAAAAAAAAAAAAAGACCUACAGAUGCCAGCAUUUAUAGGUUGUAUCAGUGACAAAGCCAGCUUGAAGCCACAUCACCCUGUGAUGAAGCUUUCCAUGCACCAACCUUCUCUGGAGCCUGGUAUUUAAGAUCAGCUUAUUAAUGCCAUAUUCUUUAAUAUGAACAGACAGCCAAGGAACCAGACAUUUGGAGGAAAUUCUCCAAAAUGAAAGACAGAGACCAAAAUGAACAACACACGUGGGGGUGUGGGGAUGGGGCA